rnacentral:lncRNA from 1 species
UACAGAAAAUGCUACAUAUUUCCCAGGAGUGAAAAGUUACUUGAGGGCCAGAUCAAUCUUUUGUGAUUUGCUUCAAGUAGAACUGCUUAAAGGGCUCAGUUUGGAAUAACUCUAUGUUUCAUGGGCACAGGGCAAAAGUGUGUGGAGCAAGAGCCUGGCAGACAUACUAAAAGGCACUUGGGUCAGAUCCAUGGUUCUUGUUCAUGGUUCAUGAAGUCCUGAGCUACUCAUGUUUGCUCUCAGUAAUGGUCUGGAUGAGAGCAAACUAAUUGAAACUUAAUCCAGAGGAGACUGAGGUCCCUUCCACGCUUUUCUUAUCUCCCAGGAUCAGAUCCCAGAUUAUCUGCUUUGAACUGUAUUGAAUGAGGUCCCUUCCACACAGCUGUAUAAAAUCCAACAUGAUCUGCUUUGAACUGGGUUAUAUGGCAGAGUGGACCCAGAUAACUCAGUUUGAAGCAGAUAUAGUGGUUAAUUUGCCUUGAUAUUCUGAGUUAUAUGGCUGUGUGGAAGGGCCCUGAGUUUUAGGUCAAGUCUGACUCCACCACCCUCUGAGGUAGAUUUUCCCACCAUCAAACAGCUUUUACUUAUUUGUUCCUAAGUUGUAUCUAAUGUUGACUCUGCCAACUGCCUUUAGACAUUCAAGGAUGGAAAAAAAUCAUCUUGCAACAAAAGAUGGCAUGGCUGAACCAUUGUCCUUCAUCAUUUUGCUUUGAUUGUACUGUAACUUAUUGUAAGAACUGAAGUUAUUCUUGUUGGCACAUAUACCAUUAUCCCAUUACAAUAUGAACCUACAUUUGUGACAAUCAAUCUAUAUAGGGUUCCUUUUAACUCAUGAAAAAAGUGGUUGGUCUGUGUUCUCAAGAAGGGGAGGGAAAACUCUCUGACCAAAGACAAGAAUGGCUCAUAAAAUUUCUUCACUGGCUUCAAGGUCCCCCUGCAAUCCAUGUAGCUGUAGAACAGUAGUUCUCAACCUGUGGUUCCCAAGAUGUUUUGGCCUUCAACUCCCAGAAAUCUUAACAGCUGAUAAAUGGGCUGGUAUUUCUGGGAAUUUAUUUAUUUAUUAGUGGCAGGUCCUUCUUGUUUACUCUCAAUAGCAUC